AUAAGCUCCCCGCNUNGNAAGUNCGNUCGCAAGACUGAAACUNAAANGAAUUGGCGGGGGAGCACACCAAGGGGUGCGGCGUGNGNUUUAAUNUAACUCANNGCAGAGAAUCUCACCAGAAGCGACGGUAGGAUGAAAGUCAGGCUGAAGACCUUACUUGACAANCCGAGAGGUAGUGCAUGGCCGUCGUCAGCUCGUGCCGUAAGGUGUCCUGAUAAGUCAGGCAACGAGCGAGACCUGCGCCUACAAUUGCUAGCGAAUGCUUGCAUGAUCGAGCACAUUGUAGGGACUGCUCUGGAAACAGGGAGGAAGGUGCAGGCUACGGUAGGUCUGUAUGCUCCGAAUCCUCUGGGCUACACGCGCGCAACAAUGGUAAGGACAAUGGGAUGCCACUCCGAAAGGAGAAGCCAAGCCUCGAAACCUUAUCCAAGUCCAGAUUGAGGGCUGUAACUCGCCCUCAUGACGAUGGAAUCCCUAGUAAUCNGAAUUCAACACGUCCCGGGANUUGCCUCUCUGGGGGCCG
rnacentral:rRNA from 1 species